GAAUUUGAGAGCGAUCUGGCUGCAACAUCUGUCACCCCCUUAAUCGCCAGGGUUGAUUCGGCUGAUCUGGCUGGCUAAGGAGCUGUCCCAUUCCUCCCUCACCACUCAUGUGCAUCCCUCCCAAAGCUGUGCUCUCAGUCGAAGAGGACAACCAUCCUCGAUAGAAGAGGAUCUAUCUUCGGUCAAGGGUAUACAAGUAGCUGCACUUCCCUAGUAGAACCUCCAGACAGGCUCUGAAGGUCCAUUUAUAGGAGAAAGUAGGUUAGUCAAGCUUCCAAGAUUCCAAACACAUUCAUAUGAGGUGCUGCAUGUGGCAGUCUGCCUUUCUUU
rnacentral:snRNA from 1 species